rnacentral:tRNA from 1 species
GCCUACGUGGUGUAGUGGUCAGCACGCUCGACGCGUAUUCGAGAGGUCCGUGGUUAGAGUCCCGGGGAGGACA